rnacentral:misc_RNA from 1 species
GAUGAAGAACGUAGCGAAAUGCGAUAAGUAAUGUGAAUUGCAGAAUUCAGUGAAUCAUCGAAUCUUUGAACGCACAUUGCGCCCGCCAGUAUUCUGGCGGGCAUGCCUGUUCGAGCGUCAUUUCAACCCUCAAGCCCCCGGGCUUGGUGUAGGGGAUCGGCGUGCCCUCGCGGCGCGCCGUCCCCUAAAUCUAGUGGUGGUCUCGCUGUAGCUUCCUCUGCGUAGUAGCAACACUCGCACUGGAUCGCAGCGCGGCCACGCCGUUAAACCCCCCACUUCUGAAAGUUUGACCUCGGAUCAGGUAGGAAUACCCGCUGAACUUAAGCAUAUCAAUAAGCGGAGGA